rnacentral:rRNA from 1 species
AGAGUUUGAUCCUGGCUCAGAGUGAACGCUGGCGGCAUGGUUAAGACAUGCAAGUCGAACGAAAAGCAAAUCUUCGGAUUUGUGGAAAGUGGCGAACGGGUGCGUAACACGUGAGCAACCUGCCCUAAAGUGCGGAACAGCCUGUCGAAAGAUGGAUUAAUGCCGCAUGUGGCUCUUCUUCGCAUGGAGAAGUAGCUAAAGCUUGUAAUGGCGCUUUAGGAUGGGCUCGCGGCCUAUCAGCUUGUUGGUAAGGUAACGGCUUACCAAGGCUAAGACGGGUAGCUGGUCUGAGAGGAUGAUCAGCCACACCGGGACUGAGACACGGCCCGGACACCUACGGGUGGCAGCAGUUUCGAAUCAUUCACAAUGGGCGAAAGCCUGAUGAUGCAAUGCCGCGUGGAGGAUGAAGGCCUUAGGGUCGUAAACUCCUGUCAUUGGGGAACAACAAGUAGGUUCAUAGCCUAUCAUGAGUUAACCCAAAGAGGAAGAGGUGGCUAACUCCGUGCCAGCAGCCGCGGUAAUACGGAGACCUCGAGCGUUACUCGGAUUCACUGGGCGUAAAGGGUGAGUAGGUGGCCAAGUAUGUCAGGUGUGAAAUCCCGGGGCUUAACCCCGGAACUGCGCCUGAAACUACUUGGCUAGAGUCUCGGAGAGGAUAGUGGAAUUCCAAGUGUAGCGGUGAAAUGCGUAGAUAUUUGGAGGAACACCAGUGGCGAAGGCGACUAUCUGGACGAGUACUGACGCUCAAUCACGAAAGCAUGGGUAGCGAAAGGGAUUAGAUACCCCUGUAGUCCAUGCCGUAAA